CCUACGGGAGGCAGCAGUGGGGAAUAUUGGACAAUGGGGGGAACCCUGAUCCAGCGACGCCGCGUGAGUGAUGAAGUAUUUCGGUAUGGAAAGCUCUAUCAGCAGGGAAGUAAGAAAUGACGGUACCUGACUAAGAAGCCCCGGCUAACUACGGGCCAGCAGACGCGGCAAUACGUGGGGGGCAAGCGUUAUCCGGAUUUACGGGGUGUAAGGGGAGCGUAGACGGCGAUGCAAGUCUGAAGUAAAAGGCGGGGCCCAACCCUCGUACUGCAGUGGAAACUGGAAGGCUUGAGUGCAGGAGAGGUAAGUGGAAUUCCUAGUGUAGCGGUGAAAUGCGUAGAUAUUAGGAAGAACACCAAUGGCGAAGGCAGCUUACUGGACUGUAACUGACGUUGAGGCUCGAAAGCGUGGGUAGCAAACAGGAUUAGAUACCCUGGUAGUC
rnacentral:rRNA from 1 species